CAGUCGCCGCGGUAAUACGAAGGGUGCAAGCGUUAAUCGGAAUUACUGGGCGUAAAGCGUGCGUAGGCGGUGGUUUAAGUCCGUUGUGAAAGCCCUGGGCUCAACCUGGGAAUUGCAGUGGAUACUGGGUCACUAGAGUGUGGUAGAGGAUAGUGGAAUUUCCGGUGUAGCAGUGAAAUGCGUAGAGAUCGGAAGGAACAUCUGUGGCGAAGGCGACUAUCUGGGCCAACACUGACACUGAGGCACGAAAGCGUGGGGAGCAAACAGGAUUAGAGACCCCCGUAGUCCCUGUCUCUUAUAC
rnacentral:rRNA from 1 species